rnacentral:tRNA from 1 species
GGAGGAUUAGCUCAGCUGGGAGAGCAUCUGCCUUGCACGCAGGAGGUCAGCGGUUCGAUCCCGCCCCGAGCCACUUCCA